rnacentral:misc_RNA from 1 species
UUAACAUCUUCUGGAACCUUUCUGGAACGAAUCAUCUUUUCUGGGAAGAUGGAACAUUUUGGUGUAAUGUACCCGGGGUUUUUUUCGGAAAACCAUAUGGUUCUUUAUGGAUCCUCUUAUGCAUUAUGUUCGAUAUCAAGGAAAGGCAAUUCUUGCAUCAAAAGGCACUCUUCUUUUGAAGAAGAAAUGGAAAUCUUACCUUGUCAAUUUCUCGCAAUAUUUUUUCUCUUUUUGGACUCAACCACAAAGGAUUCGUCUAAACCAAUUAACAAACUCUUGCUUCGAUUUUCUGGGGUACCUUUCAAGUGUACCAAUAAAUACUUUGUUAGUAAGGAAUCAAAUGCUGGAGAAUUCUUUUCUA